rnacentral:rRNA from 1 species
GACGAACGCUGGCGGCGUGCUUAACACAUGCAAGUCGAACGGAAAGGCCCUGCUUUUGUGGGGUGCUCGAGUGGCGAACGGGUGAGUAACACGUGAGUAACCUGCCCUUGACUUUGGGAUAACUUCAGGAAACUGGGGCUAAUACCGGAUAGGAGCUCCUGCUGCAUGGUGGGGGUUGGAAAGUUUCGGCGGUUGGGGAUGGACUCGCGGCUUAUCAGCUUGUUGGUGGGGUAGUGGCUUACCAAGGCUUUGACGGGUAGCCGGCCUGAGAGGGUGACCGGCCACAUUGGGACUGAGAUACGGCCCAGACUCCUACGGGAGGCAGCAGGGGGGAAUAUUGCACAAUGGGCGGAAGCCUGAUGCAGCAACGCCGCGUGCGGGAUAACGGCCUUCGGGUUGUAAACCGCUUUCGCCUGUGACGAAGCGUGCGUGACGGUAAUGGGUAAAGAAGCACCGGCUAACUACGUG